rnacentral:lncRNA from 10 species
AAGGCUGCAAACGAAGCCAGAAAGAUGGUGGCCAGCACACCUAUGGCAACUAUCACCACGGUCUCCAUGCUUCCGGGGAGCUCCUGACUCAGUCCCGUUCACAUCGUCCUCAUGGGCUAAGGCUGCUGGAAGUGGCAAACUGGGGGAAGAGGAUGGCAGGAGCUAGGUUCCUCCACGACACCUCCAGAGACCUGAGGGCCUCAAGCUGCAGCUCCGGGGCACAUCCCGCUGCGCUCCCACGACGGCCCCGCGGAUGGCAAAGUCAGCGGCAUCGCCUAUGCAGGCAAUCAAAGGAUGUUGAUGGAUAAGUGUUUCAGGCAGAAUAAUGGCCCUCAAAGAUGUUGACACCAGAAUCUUCAGAACCUUUGCAUAUGUUACCUAACAUGACAAAAGGGACUUUGCUGAUGUGAUUAAGGUUAAGAACUUUGAGAAGGGAAGAUUAUCCUGGAUUAUACAGGUCGACGUUUAUUUCUUUCUGAACUUUCCUGGAGGAUCAUCGGCCAUACUCCAGCAGAAGGGUGGAUUUGAAAAAAUAACGUUUCCACGGCAACAGUGGCAGCAAUUCAAAGGAAGACGUUGGAGAAUUCACAUGCUAUUUUAGCUGGCUCUGUGAUUGCAAUCACACAAAUCAUUACAUUCCAGCGAGAUCCCAUCAACAGAAGGUUUUUCCAUUUCAGUCUGUCAAGGUAAA